AACGAACGCUGGCGGCAUGCCUAACACAUGCAAGUCGAACGAGACCUUCGGGUCUAGUGGCGCACGGGUGCGUAACGCGUGGGAAUCUGCCCUUGGGUUCGGAAUAACAGCGAGAAAUUGCUGCUAAUACCGGAUGAUGACGUAAGUCCAAAGAUUUAUCGCCCAAGGAUGAGCCCGCGUAGGAUUAGCUAGUUGGUGAGGUAAAGGCUCACCAAGGCGACGAUCCUUAGCUGGUCUGAGAGGAUGAUCAGCCACACUGGGACUGAGACACGGCCCAGACUCCUACGGGAGGCAGCAGGUGGGGAAUAUUGGACAAUGGGCGAAAGCCUGAUCCAGCAAUGCCGCGUGAGUGAU
rnacentral:rRNA from 1 species